UACGAGGGGGGCGAGCGUUGUUCGGAAUUAUUGGGCGUAAAGGGUGCGUAGGCGGUUUGAUAAGUCUGAUGUGAAAUCUAUGGGCUCAACCCAUAGCCUACAUUAGAAACUGUCGGGCUUGAGUAUGGGAGAGGUGAGUGGAAUUUCCGGUGUAGCGGUGAAAUGCGUAGAUAUCGGAAGGAACACCGGUGGCGAAGGCGGGUCUCUGGGCCGGUACCGACGCUGAGGAGCGAAAGCGUGGGGAGCGAACAGG
rnacentral:rRNA from 1 species